rnacentral:rRNA from 1 species
UUGGAGGAAAGCAGGGGAUCGCAAGACCUUGCGCUUUUGGAGUGGCCGAUGCCUGAUUAGCUAGUUGGUAGGGUAAUGGCUUACCAAGGCGACGAUCAGUAGUUGGUCUGAGAGGACGACCAGCCACACUGGGACUGAGACACGGCCCAGACUCCUACGGGAGACAGCAGUGGGGAAUUUUGGACAAUGGGCGAAAGCCUGAUCCAGCAAUGCCGCGUGAGUGAAGAAGGCCUUCGGGUUGUAAAGCUCUUUCAGUCGAGAAGAGAAGGUUGUGACUAAUAAUCACAACUCAUGACGGUAUCGACAGAAGAAGCACCGGCUAACUACGUGCCAGCAGCCGCGGUAGUACGUAGGGUGCGAGCGUUAAUCGGAAUUACUGGGCGUAAAGGGUGCGCAGGCGGCUUUGUAAGUCAGAUGUGA